UGCUAUUGGCUGGAGUUGAAGCUACGGCACGCGAUCGUCAUCCGUAACCUUUGACGUUGGAGCAGCAGUAGCCAGCUGUUACAAAUCGCGUCACUUCUCGCCAGCUGAUCGGAGACGCCGGCCGAGUGGGAGACGCCGAGAAAAGAACCCGGGUUAUCUUUUUUUACCCCACCAGCGAGGCAGGCGAGUACUCCGGACUGUGGAAGAUGGAUCCAGUGUGUAACUCUUGGCUAACCUACAUCAGUUCUUCUCUGGCAAACUUUAUGUUCCUAUUCACAUGCUAAAGCUGCCAGCUGAAGAGCUGUUGUGGUCAGCUUUGACCUACUCCUACUUUCCAGAAAUUUCUGUUUAAAAAAAAAAAAAAAAGAAAAA